CAGGAAUUAACAUGAAUUGGAUGAAAGAGGUUAAAGUAGUAAGGAGUUGGACUCAAGAGAAGAAGGAAAAGUGCUAAAAAGAAGAAUCGCACAUGGCGCUAAGCGCCAAUUCCACCGUUAAGCGCCAGCUUUAUUGUGUAGUUCUUUGGACAACGCUUAAGCGUCAAUGCUGAGAGGAAAAACAAGUGUCACAGUCACCACUGGGCGC
rnacentral:lncRNA from 1 species